rnacentral:rRNA from 1 species
AACGAACGCUGGCGGCGCGUCUUAACCAUGCAAGUCGGACGGCAAUCCAGCAAUGGAUGAGAGUGGCGGACUGGUGAGUAACACGUGGGUGACAUACCCUUCGGACGGGGAUAGCUGGUAGAAAUAUCAGAUAAUACCGGAUAAGGUCGCGGAUAUCAGAAGUCCGCGAGGAAAGGAGCUUCGGCUCCACCGGAGGAAUGGCCUGCGGCCAAUCAGCUUGUUGGUGAGGUAACGGCCCACCAAGGCUAUAACGGGUAUCCGGCCUAAGAGGGCAAACGGACACAUUGGGACUGAGAUACGGCCCAGACUCCUACGGGAGGCAGCAGGUAAGAAUAUUCCGCAAUGGGCGAAAGCCUGACGGAGCGACGCCGCGUGUAUGAUGAAGGCCGAAAGGUUGUAAAGUACUUUUUGUCGCGAGGAAUAAGCGCGGGAGGCAAUGCCCGCGCGGUGACUGUAGCGCAGGAAUAAGCCCCGGCCAACUACGUGCCAGCAGCCGCGGU